UACGUAGGGUGCAAGCGUUGUCCGGAAUUAUUGGGCGUAAAGAGCUCGUAGGCGGUCCGUCACGUCGGCUGUGAAAACCUGGGGCUCAACCCGGGCCUGCAGCCGAUACGGGCGGACUAGAAUUCGGUAGGGAGACUGGAAUUCCUGGUGUAGCGGUGAAAUGCGCAGAUAUCAGGAGGAACACCGGUGGCGAAGGCGGGUCUCUGGGCCGAUAUUGACGCUGAGGAGCGAAAGCGUGGGGGACGCAACAGG
rnacentral:rRNA from 1 species